rnacentral:rRNA from 1 species
AUUGAACGCUGGCGGCAUGCUUUACACAUGCAAGUCGAACGGUAACAGGCCUUCGGGUGCUGACGAGUGGCGAACGGGUGAGUAAUGCAUCGGAACGUACCCAGAGGUGGGGGAUAACGCAGCGAAAGCUGUGCUAAUACCGCAUGUGAUCUGAGGAUGAAAGCGGGGGACCGAGCAGCAAUGUUUGGCCUCGCGCCUUUGGAGCGGCCGAUGUCGGAUUAGCUAGUUGGUGGGGUAAAGGCCUACCAAGGCGACGAUCCGUAGCUGGUCUGAGAGGACGACAGGCGACACUGGGACUGAGACACGGCCCAGACGCCUACGGGAGGCAGCAGUGGGGAAUGGUGGACAGUGGGCGCAAGCCUGGUCCAGCGAUGCCGCGUGCGGGAAGAAGGCCUUCGGGUUGUAAACCGCGUUUGGCAGGAACGAAACGGUGUCCGCUAAUACCGGGCGCUAAUGACGGUACCUGCAGAAUAAGCACCGGCUAACUACGUG